rnacentral:rRNA from 1 species
AACGAACGCUGGCGGCAGGAUUAACACAUGCAAGUCGAACGGUUGUAGCAAUACAGCAGUGGCGCACGGGUGAGUAACGCGUGGAUAUCUGCCUUUUGGUUCGGAAUAGCUCCGGGAAACUGGAGCUAAUACCGGAUGGUUCCUACGGGAUAAAGAUUUAUCGCCAAAAGAUGAGUCCGCGUACGAUUAGCUAGUUGGCGGGGUAAUGGCCCACCAAGGCGACGAUCGUUAGCUGGUCUGAGAGGACGAUCAGCCACACUGGGACUGAGACACGGCCCAGACUCCUACGGGAGGCAGCAGUGGGGAAUAUUGGACAAUGGGGGCAACCCUGAUCCAGCCAUGCCGCGUGAGUGAUGAAGGCCUUCGGGUUGUAAGCUCUUUUGGCGGGGACGAUGAUGACGGUACCCGCAGAAUAAGCCCCGGCUAACUUCGUGCCAGCAGCCGCCGUAAUAC